GUCAGGUUGGCCAAGCGGUCCAAUGUGCUGUGUGAACGUCGCAGUCUCCCCCAGAAACGUGGGUUCGAAUCCUACUCCUGAUA
rfam:Chelonia mydas contig174307, whole genome shotgun sequence.